ACACUGUAAAAAAUACAACUUGCCUUUAGUACUGCCAAAUAACUUUUCUGACUAAACAGAACUCAAAUAAUCAAAUAGUGUAGUAAAACUCAUUAUAACAAGUUUUUACAACUAAUUUGGGAAAUUCACCUAACAAACUUAAGAAACUGAGUUGACUCAACUUGCAUAAUUAAGUAUCUAUAAGAGAGAAGUUUCCCAAAGUUCACUGAACUUCUUAGUCAAGUUGGCGCAAGCGCAUUGUUUCCUAAAGUAUCAAGGCGAACUGUGGGCUGCAGAUUGAAUUUGUCAGGAGGACAGAAGCCAGUCACCUUCCCUACCUGUAUGCAGCGUGGAGCAAAUGACAACAGCAUUGUCAAAGACUCUUCUGUUGCAAUGCAAUGUAAGGAGUGUCCAUUUUCUCACCCGGAUGUAGAGACCCUCCUGACCCAUUACAGGCUUCAUAACGGUCACCAGGGAAAAAGCUGGCUCUGCCUCCACCCCAAGUGCAUGUGCAUCUUUAAGACUUCAGAUAUAUGAAGUCGGCUGGCAUCGCCAAGUGUCUCCACGCCACACGCGGCUGCUGUUCUGUCUCUUACGAAGUUUAUCGCGUCCUCUUCAAUCCUCGGUUUGACGCUGGGGUUAUUGUGUAACCUACUGGUGGUAUUGUUUGUCGUACCAGUUGUGAUUGAUUGUGCAUGGGAUUAAUUUUGGACUGAUCUGCAUAACGCAUGUUUAGGGCUUUCUGGCCGUAUGGUGCAUGCUUUGCAUGUUUGAUUACUUGCUUCUUUCUGUGUAUUUGCAUGUGGUUUAUUAUGUUCUUUUCUUAUGCCUUUCCUUUUUGUUCCCUGUGAUGCAUGUUUAGAGCUGCUUUGCGCUGCAUGCACAUUUGAGUAUUUGCGGGGUUAACUCACCUGUAUCUUACAGCCCCUUCAUUGUAUUGUUGCAUUGUGGGAACUGCUGUGCAUGUGCAUGUGUGUGGUUGGUAGUGGUGUGUGAGCGUGUAUUUGUGUGCAGUAACGUUAUUCCCCCCCAUCGCCGUGACCAGGGCGGUUGCACUGCUCCAGCUUGACCUCUGGGGGCUUCAACAUCUGUGGGACGGCCAUUCCAGCCUCCAGCCCCACAGCUCAAAAGCUAAGUAUAACCAUACCGGCUAAUGCUAAGUUAGUGUGAUUGUGCUACCCACAGUUCUAACCAUAGUCUCUCCCCCCUCUCUCCCUUGUUCUCCUUUGGACAGGUGCGGUGUGGUCCAAGCGAGCGGCAGGCUCACCCUCAGGUGGUGGGGUCCCUUCACGUUUCCUGUAGCACACCUCGGGUGUCAAUCCUUAGCUUUGGAGUGCAGUGUGAUUGCAGUGUGAGUGCAGUGAUUGCAGUGUGAUUCUCACGUGUGAUUUGUGGGUGUCUUCUGGACCGCUUCCCCCCCCUCCUGUAGUCCUGCCGGUCGUGGAUGCAGAUGCUGAGGAGGACUAGAGGCAUGAAAAUUGGAAUCUUGACCGUCAUUGAAGACGACCUCGCCAUGAAAGCACCAGACACUGUUACCAAUAUCGCCAUCGUCCUGGAAGAGACUGUUGUUCUACAGGACAUCAAGGAUCUUCCAUCUGCACUGGCCUACCUAUGCGGACUCCUGCACGACAUGGGGUGCCAAUACUUAUGACCCCUGUAUUUUAAGGAAGAACAUUUAUUUAUUUAUGAUACAUUAUUCAUUCACAAAGAAAAUUGGUGUCCUUAAAUGUUGGAUAUUCCCUCAUUUUUUAACUUAAGGCAUUAAGAUCAAUUUCUAAGAGAUGAUUUAAUAUUCCUCUUUUUAGUCAGCGUUAGCAGAGGUGCCAGUAAUUCUGGAGGGUACUGUAGCUCAGGGGUGUUCAAACUGGCUAAAAAUAAAAACAUUGUUUGAUCUA